rnacentral:rRNA from 1 species
AGAGUUUGAUCCUGGCUCAGAGCGAACGUUAGCGGCGCGCUUAACACAUGCAAGUCGCACGAGAAAGGGCUUCGGCCCCAGUAAAGUGGCGCACGGGUGCGUAACACGUAGGCAAUCUUCCCUUGAGCGGGGGAUAACGUUUCGAAAGAGACGCUAAUACCGCAUAAGACCACGUACUCCUCGGAGGAUGCGGUCAAAGCUGGCCUCUUCACGAAAGCCAGCACUCAAGGACGAGCCUGCGGCCCAUCAUGCUAGUUGGUAGGGUAAUGGCCUACCAAGGCGAAGACGGGUAGCUGGUCUGAGAGGAUGAUCAGCCACACUGGCACUGAAACACGGGCCAGACUCCUACGGGAGGCAGCAGUGGGGAAUAUUGGACAAUGGGCGCAAGCCUGAUCCAGCGACGCCGCGUGAGUGAUGAAGGCCUUCGGGUUGUAAAGCUCUGUUGAGGGAGAAGAAAACGGCUGGCGCGAAUAGCUCCAGUCCUUGACGGUAUCCCUUUAGAAAGCACCGGCUAACUCUGUGCCAGCAGCCGCGGUAAGACAGAGGGUGCAAACGUUGCUCGGAAUUACUGGGCGUAAAGCGCGUGUAGGCGGGCCUUCAAGUCGGACGUGAAAGCCCUGGGCUCAACCCAGGAACUGCAUCCGAAACUGAAGGCCUGGAGUGGUGGAGAGGGAAGCAGAAUUCCUGGUGUAGAGGUGAAAUUCGUAGAUAUCAGGAGGAACACCGGUGGCGAAGGCGGCUUCCUGGACACUUACUGACGCUGAGACGCGAAAGCGUGGGGAGCAAACAGGAUUAGAUACCCUAGUAGUCC